rnacentral:rRNA from 1 species
UACGUAGGGUGCGAGCGUUGUCCGGAAUUAUUGGGCGUAAAGGGCUCGUAGGCGGUCUGUCACGUCAGGAGUGAAAACUCGGGGCUCAACCCCGAGCCUGCUUCUGAUACGGGCAGACUGGAGGUAUGCAGGGGAGAACGGAAUUCCUGGUGUAGCGGUGAAAUGCGCAGAUAUCAGGAGGAACACCGGUGGCGAAGGCGGUUCUCUGGGCAUUACCUGACGCUGGGGCACGAAGGCCAGGGGAGCAAACGGG